GUAUCUACCUGGCAGGGGAGAUGCCAUGAUCACAAAGGUGGUUUUCUUAGGGUGAGGCUGACUCAUUCCCUGUUCUUGGGAUGUGUGGCCCCCUGUGAUUUCCCCAAAUGUGGGAACCUGCAAUGCAUAGUUGGUGGUAGUUUGUGUUCAUGCUCUC